CCUACGGGUGGCAGCAGUGAGGAAUAUUGGUCAAUGGCCGGAAGGCUGAACCAGCCAUGCCGCGUGAAGGUCAGUGCCCUAUGGGCGUUAACAUUCUUUUGUGCGGGAGCAAUAAUGGUCACGUGUGGCCAGACGAGAGUACCGUACGCAUAAGCAUCGGCUAACUCCGUGCCAGCAGCCGCGGUAAUACGGGUGAUGCAAGCGUUCUCCGGAUUUAUUGGGUUUAAAGGGUGCGUAGGCUGUGAGGUAAGUCAGCGGGGAAAUGCCCCCGCUCAACGGGGUGAAGUGCCAUUGAUACUGCCGUGCUGAAAUGCGGAUGCCGUGGGAGGAAUGUGUGGGGUAGCGGUGAAAUGCAUAGAUAUCACACAGAACACCGAUUGCGAAGGCAUCUCACGAAUCCGCGAUUGACGCUGAUGCACGAAAGCGUGGGUAUCAAACAGGAUUAGAUACCCCUGUAGUC
rnacentral:rRNA from 1 species